UGAACAAUCACUGUUGAAACAUAAAUGCAAAGAAUACACCGUUUUAUUGGGUUAUUGUACCUAUUAUAUAACAAGUUACCAUAGAUGCUUUUCAUAGAUGAUUUAAUGUUAAAUCAUUAAAAAUAAUCAUAAUUUUAUGAUGGUUAAAUAAAUUCUCAUUUGCACUUAUUUGAUGUAAAAUACAAUAUAAAAACAACAAAAUGACCUGGUCAUAUUUCCAACAAUUAUUUCAGCUUUAUCUGUCCUGGUGAUUAUAAAGGAAAAACAAGUAUUUAUGACAUACAUUGCUUCUGAGGGUGCUUUACUUUAAAAGGUCUUGGAAAUCUAGUUUAUAAUUAAGCAAAAACUACAAAAUAAACAGGAAUAACAAUUUACUAAUUUUCCCCCAUUUUCUCACUCCUUUCUGAAAAGGUGACUCUUAAGAAGAACAGGGGG
rnacentral:lncRNA from 1 species